UACGUAGGGUGCAAGCGUUGUCCGGAAUUAUUGGGCGUAAAGAGCUCGUAGGCGGUUUGUCGCGUCUGCUGUGAAAACUCAGGGCUUAACCCUGAGCCUGCAGUGGGUACGGGCAGACUAGAGUGUGGUAGGGGAGAUCGGAAUUCCUGGUGUAGCGGUGGAAUGCGCAGAUAUCCGGAGGAACACCGAAGGCGUAGGCAGUGUCCUGGGGAGUACCUGACGCUCAGGUGCGAAAGCCAGGGGAGCGAACGGG
rnacentral:rRNA from 1 species